GACAAGGGAGGAGCUGAAUCUCCUCUGUCUUUGGGAAAGGGGAAACAGACAAGGAAGGGAGAGAAAGAAAGUGGUGGAGCAGGACCAUUGCAUCUUAAAGCAACUAGCCAUUGCUUUAAGCAAACAAAUCCUCUCUGUUACACAUCUGGCUAUACUCAUAUCAUCUCAAUACCUCUCUGCCUCCAGGCAUCCUUCUGCCCUGCCUGCGAAGUAAUGAUGUUCUGCUAUUGCCAUUUUACAGGAGAAGGCACAAUUAGCCGGUCUCUUGACAGGGCAAGAAACUGAAGAAAGUUGCUGAAUCACAUCACUGUGCAGAGUACAUUCCUCAAAUGGCCUUUCUCUAACGAUGGAAAAAAAAAUAAGUGAAAAAGAAAGCAGCACCAAACCUGCAUUAAAACUCAAAUGAUGAACCAACCAUAUUAUGAGGAAAAGCACUGCUCUAUUACUUUGGCUGUAGGUGUUGGAAGAUGAAAUUCUGCUCGUCUUCCAGGCAAGCAAAUCCCCAUCCUGCAAUGUGCAGACAAGCUGCUAAAAUGCUGGGACAGGUAGACUGGGGGAAACACGAAGAAAUUCCAGACUUCCUGUAUGGCACCAGGUGUGAACACAAAGAAGAGGGAUGAACAGGAGGUCGGGUCAUCACUUAAGGUUGUAAACUCCUCUUGCUAAGGAAAAGAAGGUGGCCUGCUCCCUCUAUAGGCUUCCCUGGUUGUUGCUUUCACAAACCAGCUAUCCAGGAGAUCAGAGCUGCAUGCUUUUGAAGACUGUCAAAAAUGCUGAAGACUCUGGCUCCUCAGUUGCACCAGCACUGCAAUUUCUGGCAUCGUUCUGGAAGAAGACUGUAAGACAACCCAGCAUUACCUUUCAGAGGGUUGUGCCAUCAUGCUCUACUGAAUUGUACCGCCAGGGUGUUGCAAAGAGUGCCUUGCAAUGUGGAGCUACCCAAACCUAACAAGGCUUGGGAGCGACGUAUUCAUUACUAUAUGCGUGACCUCAUCUUCAAAGGAAGAUUAGCAUUAGCCAACUUAAGAUGAUGGAAAGGGAGGAGUUGGUUUAAAAUUAAUUUC